rnacentral:rRNA from 1 species
CUACGGGCCGCAGCAGUGAGGAAUAUUGCACAAUGGGGGGAACCCUGAUGCAGCAACGCCGCGUGGAGGAUGACGCAUUUCGGUGUGUAAACUCCUUUUAUAUGUCAAGAAAAUGACGGUAGCAUAUGAAUAAGCACCGGCUAACUCCGUGGCCAGCAGCCGCGGUAAUAUGGAGGGUGCAAGCGUUACUCGGAAUCACUGGGCGUAAAGGACGCGUAGGCGGGUUGGAAAGUCAGGUGUGAAAUCCUACAGCUUAACUGUAGAACUGCACUUGAAACUUCUAAUCUAGAGUAUGGGAGGGGGAGAUGGAAUUAGUGGUGUAGGGGUAAAAUCCGUAGAUAUAACUAGGAAUACCUAAAGCGAAGGCGAUCUCCUGGAACAUUACUGACGCUAAGGCGUGAAAGCGUGGGGAGCAAACAGGAUUAGAUACCCGCGUAGUC